ACGAACGCUGGCGGCGUGCCUAAUACCUGCCAGUAGAACGCUGAAGGAGGCUCUUGCUUUCCUGGAUGAGUUGCGAACGGGUGAGUAACGCGUAGGUAACCUGUCUGCUAGCGGGGGAUAACAAUUGGAAACGAUAGCUAAUACCGCAUAAUAGUAGAUGUUUCAUGACAUUUGCUUAAAAUGUGCAAUUUCAUCUCUACCAGCUGCACCUCCGUUGUAUUAGCUAGUUGGUGGGGUAACGGCUCACCAAGGCGACGAUACAUAGCCGACCUGCGAGGGUGAUCGGCCACACUGGGACUGAGACACGGCCCAGACUCCUACGGGAGGCAGCAGUAGGGAAUCUUCGGCAAUGGACGGAAGUCUGACCGAGCAACGCCGCGUGAGUGAAGAAGGUUUUCGGAUCGUAAAGCUCUGUUGUAAGAGAAGAACGAGUGUGAGAGUGGAAAGUUCACACUGUGACGGUAUCUUACCAGAAAGGGACGGCUAACUACGUG
rnacentral:rRNA from 1 species